ACCCUACUAUGCCUAACCUAAUAUACAAUUAAAUCACUAAUUGUUCGCCAAAUAACUACGAGUAAUUAAACCUUAAAAUUUAAAAGACUUGACGGUACUUCACAUCAACCUAGAGGAGCCUGUCUAAUAACCGAUACUCCACGAUUAACCCAACCCACCCUAGCCACAACAGUCUAUAUACCGCCAUCGCCAGCCCAUCUUAUAAAAGAAAUAAAAUGAACAAAACAGCUACCACUAAUACGAUAGGUCGAGGUGUAACUAAUGAGUGGGAAUAAGAUGGGCUACAUUUUCUAACACAGAAAACACGAAACAACCAAUGAAAAAAGAACCGAAGGCGGAUUUAGCAGUAUAUUAAGAACAAAAUACUUAACCGAAACUAACGCAAUGAAGUGUGUACACACCGCCCGUCAUCCCUGACAAUAACAACACCAUUACAUAAGCAAAUAAACUAAUAUCUUCA
rnacentral:rRNA from 1 species